AUGUCUCAUCAAAUUCUCUAUUUUAAAUUCUUUCGAUUUUCAAAUUAUGCAUUCGGAAUUCACAAAUUUGCUUUCACUUUGUUCAUCAUUGUUUCAUCAAUCACAAGUCUCAUCAAAUUAUCUAUUUCACAUUUUUUCUUAGUCUUCAGAAUAAUGAAUUUUAUAUUUACGUUUUCAGUAUCUAUGACAUUACCAUGGAGAUGAAUCUUCUUAAACACCAUUCACUCCAACACAAUGGCAAGUUAUGCAUAUAUCCUUUGUUGCAGCACAAAACAUUUUCGAAGAAGAGCAAAUUUGAAGGCUCUCUAGGUCUUUUACAAGUGAUCAUAUACCAUUGAGACUCCUCUACUCGCACCAAGUGGAUUCCCGUCAAGCCAUUACUCGCAUCACACCAAUUAUUCAGAUUUUGUAUUAUACAAGCUAAAGAAACAAAAGACUCGGCUGGGAUUUUCUCCAAACCAUUUGGCUUACUCUUCAUUUUUUUCAUCACCAUUCAUCAAUAUAUCAAAAUUAAACAUUUUCGACUUUAUUA